rnacentral:rRNA from 1 species
UGAAUUUGAUUUAGUUUAGUGGCGGACGGGUGAGUAACGCGUGAGUAACCUGCCUUCAAGAGGGGGAUAACAUUCUGAAAAGAAUGCUAAUACCGCAUGAUAUAUCGGAACCACAUGGUUCUGAUAUCAAAGAUUUUAUCGCUUGAAGAUGGACUCGCGUCCGAUUAGUUAGUUGGUGAGGUAACGGCUCACCAAGACCGCGAUCGGUAGCCGGACUGAGAGGUUGAACGGCCACAUUGGGACUGAGACACGGCCCAGACUCCUACGGGAGGCAGCAGUGGGGGAUAUUGCGCAAUGGGGGCAACCCUGACGCAGCAACGCCGCGUGAAGGAUGAAGGUUUUCGGAUUGUAAACUUCUUUUAUUAAGGACGAAAAAUGACGGUACUUAAUGAAUAAGCUCCGGCUAACUACGUGCCAGCAGCCGCGGUAAUACGUAGGGAGCAAGCGUUGUCCGGAUUUACUGGGUGUAAAGGGUGCGUAGGCGGCUUUGCAAGUCAGAUGUGAAAUCUAUGGGCUCAACCCAUAAACUGCAUUUGAAACUGUAGAGCUUGAGUGAAGUAGAGGCAGGCGGAAUUCCCCGUGUAGCGGUGAAAUGCGUAGAGAUGGGGAGGAACACCAGUGGCGAAGGCGGCCUGCUGGGCUUUAACUGACGCUGAGGCACGAAAGCGUGGGUAGCAAACAGGAUUAGAUACCCUGGUAGUCCACGCUGUAAACGAUGAUUACUAGGUGUGGGGGGUCUGACCCCUUCCGUGCCGGAGUUAACACAAUAAGUAUCCCACCUGGGGAGUACGGCCGCAAGG